AGCGGCGGACGGGUGAGGAACACGUGAGUGAUCUAUCGAUGAGUGGGGGAUAUCGGACCGAAAGGCGCGGCAAUCCCGCAUACGUUCCUACGGGAAGAAAGCUGGGCAACUGGCGCUCAUCGCGGAGCUCGCGGCCCAUUAGCUAGUUGGGGGGGUAACGGCCUCCCAAGGCGACGAUGGGUAGCCGGCCUGAGAGGGUGAACGGCCACACUGGGACUGAGACACGGCCCAGACUCCUACGGGAGGCAGCAGUAGGGAAUCUUCCACAAUGGGCGCAAGCCUGAUGGAGCAACGCCGCGUGAGUGAAGACGGCCUUCGGGUUGUAAAGCUCUGUCUGUCGGGACGAAGACCGGGACGGGAGUCCCGGGGAGCCGGUACCGACGAAGGAAGCCCCUGCAAACUACGUGCCAGCAGCCGCGGUAAUACGGAGGGUGCGAGCGUUAAUCGGAAUUACUGGGCGUAAAGGGCGCGUAGGCGGUGGGUUACGUCUGCCGUGAAAUCCCCGGGCUCAACCUGAGAAUGGCGGUGGAAACGGGCUGACUGGAGUAUGGGAGAGGGUGAUGGAAUUCCAGGUGUA
rnacentral:rRNA from 1 species